rnacentral:rRNA from 1 species
GACGAACCGUGCGAACGUUGUUCGGAAUCACUGGGCUUAAAGGGCGCGUAGGUGGCGACCCAAGUCGAUGGUGAAAGCUCGCCGCUCAACGGCGAGUCGGCCACCGAUACUGGGUUGCUGGAGCACUGUAGAGGCAGAUGGAAUUCCGGGUGUAGCGGUGGAAUGCGUAGAGAUCCGGAAGAACACCGGUGGCGAAGGCGGUCUGCUGGGCAGUUGCUGACACUGAGGCGCGGCAGCGUGGGGAGCAAACAGG